rnacentral:tRNA from 1 species
CCAGUCAUAGGAUAGUAGUAAUCCAUUGGUCUUAGGAACCAAAAACCUUGGUGCAACUCCAAAUGAAAGUA